rnacentral:rRNA from 1 species
AGUGAACGCUGGCGGUAGGCCUAACACAUGCAAGUCGAACGGCAGCACAGUAAGAGCUUGCUCUUACGGGUGGCGAGUGGCGGACGGGUGCGGAAUACAUCGGAAUCUACUUUUUCGUGGGGGAUAACGUAGGGAAACUUACGCUAAUACCGCAUACGACCUACGGGUGAAAGCAGGGGAUCUUCGGACCUUGCGCGAUUGAAUGAGCCGAUGUCGGAUUAGCUAGUUGGCGGGGUAAAGGCCCACCAAGGCGACGAUCCGUAGCUGGUCUGAGAGGAUGAUCAGCCACACUGGAACUGAGACACGGUCCAGACUCCUACGGGAGGCAGCAGUGGGGAAUAUUGGACAAUGGGCGCAAGCCUGAUCCAGCCAUACCGCGUGGGUGAAGAAGGCCUUCGGAUUGUAAAGCCCUUUUGUUGGGAAAGAAAAGCAGCAGGUUAAUACCCCGCUGUUCUGACGGUACCCAAAGAAUAAGCACCGGCUAACUUCGUG